rnacentral:rRNA from 1 species
ACGUAGGGUGCGAGCGUUAAUCGGAAUUACUGGGCGUAAAGCGGGCGCAGACGGUUACUUAAGCAGGAUGUGAAAUCCCCGGGCUCAACCCGGGAAUUGCGUUCUGAACUGGGUGGCUAGAGUGUGUCAGAGGGAGGUAGAAUUCCACGUGUAGCAGUGAAAUGCGUAGAGAUGUGGAGGAAUACCGAUGGCGAAGGCAGCCUCCUGGGAUAACACUGACGUUCAUGCCCGAAAGCGUGGGUAGCAAACAGGAUUAGAUACCCUGGUAGUCCACGCCCUAAACGAUGUCGAUUAGCUGUUGGGCAGCCUGACUGCUUGGUAGCGAAGCUAACGCGUGAAAUCGACCGCCUGGGGAGUACGGUCGCAAGAUUAAAACUCAAAGGAAUUGACGGGGACCCGCACAAGCGGUGGAUGAUGUGGAUUAAUUCGAUGCAACGCGAAGAACCUUACCCGGUUUUGACAUGUACGGAAUCCUCCGGAGACGGAGGAGUGCCUUCGGGAGCCGUAACACAGGUGCUGCAUGGCUGUCGUCAGCUCGUGUCGUGAGAUGUUGGGUUAAGUCCCGCAACGAGCGCAACCCUUGUCAUUAGUUGCCAUCAUUCAGUUGGGCACUCUAAUGAGACUGCCGGUGACAAGCCGGAGGAAGGUGGGGAUGACGUCAAGUCCUCAUGGCCCUUAUGACCGGGGCUUCACACGUCAUACAAUGGUCGGUACAGAGGGUAGCCAAGCCGCGAGGCGGAGCCAAUCUCACAAAACCGAUCGUAGUCCGGAUUGCACUCUGCAACUCGAGUGCAUGAAGUCGGAAUCGCUAGUAAUCGCAGGUCAGCAUACUGCGGUGAAUACGUUCCCGGGUCUUGUACACACCGCCCGUCACACCAUGGGAGUGGGGGAUACCAGAAGCAGGUAGGCUAACCGCAAGGAGGCCGCUUGCCACGGUAUGCUUCAUGACUGGGGUGAAGUCGUAACAAGGUAGCCGUAGGGGAACC